rnacentral:rRNA from 1 species
GAUGAACGCUGGCGGCGUGCCUAAUACAUGCAAGUCGAGCGAACAGACGAGGAGCUUGCUCCUCUGACGUUAGCGGCGGACGGGUGAGUAACACGUGGAUAACCUACCUAUAAGACUGGGAUAACUUCGGGAAACCGGAGCUAAUACCGGAUAAUAUAUUGAACCGCAUGGUUCAAUAGUGAAAGACGGUUUUGCUGUCACUUAUAGAUGGAUCCGCGCCGCAUUAGCUAGUUGGUAAGGUAACGGCUUACCAAGGCAACGAUGCGUAGCCGACCUGAGAGAGUGAUCGGCCACACUGGAACUGGGACACGGUCCAGACUCCUACGGGAGGCAGCAGUAGGGAAUCUUCCGCAAUGGGCGAAAGCCUGACGGAGCAACGCCGCGUGAGUGAUGAAGGUCUUCGGAUCGUAAAACUCUGUUAUUAGGGAAGAACAAAUGUGUAAGUAACUAUGCACGUCUUGACGGUACCUAAUCAGAAAGCCACGGCUAACUACGUG